UCUCAGCUUGUGUCUUGCCAGCCAGUGCGGGAUGGUGCCUCUGUUCAGACUGCUGAUGGACCGUCAGAGCAAGAGGGUCAUUGGAACUGGCCAUCGCCGUAGAGGAUCCACAUCCCUCUACAUCCUUGACACCUUACACCUUCCUUCAGCUUCCACCACAUCCGCGUUCCGGAUGGCUGCAUCAACAUCAAGAUCCACUUCGUCGUUUUCUUUUGCCCAGUGGCACCAUCGCUUAGGUCACUUGUGUGGUUCACGUUUAUCUACCCUUCUUCGACAAGGUGUUUUGGGUCAUGUUUCCAUAGAUGCUGGUUUUCACUGUAAGGGUUGUAAGCUAGGGAAACAAAUACAGCUUCCAUACUCUUCCAGCACUACUCAUUCUAGUCAUCCUUUUGAUUUAGUGCACUCUGAUGUAUGGGGUCCUUCCCCCUUUGUUUCGAAAGGUGGCCACAAACAUUAUGUCAUAUUUGUUGAUGAUCACUCUCGACAUACUUGGGUCUAUUUUAUGAAGCAUCGUUCUGAGUUGUUUUCUA